rnacentral:rRNA from 1 species
UCUGGUGGGUAGUUUGACUGGGGCGGUCUCCUCCUAAAGAGUAACGGAGGAGCACGAAGGUUGGCUAAUCCUGGUCGGACAUCAGGAGGUUAGUGCAAUGGCAUAAGCCAGCUUGACUGCGAGCGUGACGGCGCGAGCAGGUGCGAAAGCAGGUCAUAGUGAUCCGGUGGUUCUGAAUGGAAGGGCCAUCGCUCAACGGAUAAAAGGUACUCCGGGGAUAACAGGCUGAUACCGCCCAAGAGUUCAUAUCGACGGCGGUGUUUGGCACCUCGAUGUCGGCUCAUCACAUCCUGGGGCUGAAGUAGGUCCCAAGGGUAUGGCUGUUCGCCAUUUAAAGUGGUACGCGAGCUGGGUUUAGAACGUCGUGAGACAGUUCGGUCCCUAUCUGCCGUGGGCGCUGGAGAACUGAGGGGGGCUGCUCCUAGUACGAGAGGACCGGAGUGGACGCAUCACUGGUGUUCGGGUUGUCAUGCCAAUGGCACUGCCCGGUAGCUAAAUGCGGAAGAGAUAAGUGCUGAAAGCAUCUAAGCACGAAACUUGCCCCGAGAUGAGUUCUCCCUGAGACUUAGAGUCUCCUGAAGGAACGUUGAAGACGACGACGUUGAUAGGCCGGGUGUGUAAGCGCAGCGAUGCGUUGAGCUAACCGGUACUAAUGAACCGUGAGGCUUAACCUU